AGCCACUGUUUCAGCUCAGCUGGUUGCAGCAAGGCACUGGCAAUGCCAAGGUUGUGGGUUCGAUUCCCAUAUGGGCCA